UGAAGAUGAAGAUCGCCCUUGCAUUCUGUCUUUUUGCUGCUUUUGUUUCUGUUCACUCUGUAUUUUCCGACUUGAAAUAUGCAGAUUCUAAAGUCAUAGGAUUUACGGCCAGAGUUCAAGAUGUAGUAGAGCAAUCGAUGAAAACUCAGUACAACAUUUUCGGAAUACUUUUCUACAAAGAAGAAGUUUCUGAAAAAGGAACAACUUAUUUGUUUAAGGUAAAGGCAAAUACAGAAUACUUUCAUGUAAAAGCCUUUGUGAGCAAUAGUGGUUCUGUAUCACACGUUACAUUGAUUGCUAAGAGGGAGAAUGAUUCUUUAGAAG